rnacentral:rRNA from 1 species
GGAAGGCCUUUGGGUUGUAAACCUCUUCUCUCAGGGAAGAAGAUCUGACGGUACCUGAGGAAUAAGCAUCGGCUAACUCCGUGCCAGCAGCCGCGGUAAUACGGAGGAUGCAAGCGUUAACCGGAAUUAUUGGGCGUAAAGCGUCCGCAGGUGGUCUUUCAAGUCUGCUGUCAAAGACCAGAGCUUAACUCUGGGCAGGCGGUGGAAACUGAGAGACUAGAGUUCGGUAGGGGUAGCGGGAAUUCCCAGUGUAGCGGUGAAAUGCGUAGAUAAUGGGAAGAACAUCGGUG